rnacentral:rRNA from 1 species
GACGAACCGUGCAAACGUUAUUCGGAACCACUGGGCUUAAAGGGCGCGUAGGCGGGUCAGCAAGUCAGGGGUGAAAUCCCACGGCUCAACCGUGGAAGUGCCUUUGAUACUGUUGAUCUCGAGGGAGGUAGGGGCGUGCGGAACUUCCGGUGGAGCGGUGAAAUGCGUAGAUAUCGGAAGGAACACCGGUGGCGAAAGCGGCGCGCUGGACCUCUUCUGACGCUGAGGCGCGAAAGCCAGGGGAGCAAACGGG